UAGGUGGCAAGCGUUAUCCGGAUUUACUGGGUGUAAAGGGCGAGUAGGCGGGCUUGCAAGUCAGAUGUGAAAUACCGAGGCUCAACCUCGGGGCUGCAUUUGAAACUGUAAGUCUUGAGUGAUGGAGAGGCAGGCGGAAUUCCCAGUGUAGCGGUAAAAUGCAUAGAGAUUGGGAAGAACACCAGUGGCGAAGGCGGCCUGCUGGACAUUAACUGACGCUGAGGAGCGAAAGUGUGGGGAGCAAA
rnacentral:rRNA from 1 species